rnacentral:rRNA from 1 species
UCCGUAGGGGGCGAGCGUUGUCCGGAUUCAUUGGGCGUAAAGAGCUCGUAGGCGGCUUGGUAGGUCGGAUGUGAAACCUCCAGGCUCAACCUGGAGUCGCCAUCCGAUACUGCCAUGGCUAGAGUCCGGUAGGGGCCCACGGAAUUCCUGGUGUAGCGGUGGAAUGCGCAGAUAUCAGGAGGAACACCGGUGGCGAAGGCGGGUCUCUGGGCAGUAACUGACGCUGAGGAGCGAAAGCGUGGGGAGCGAACAGG